GAUCAGCCACACUGGGACUGAGACACGGCCCAGACUCCUACGGGAGGCAGCAGUGGGGAAUUUUGGACAAUGGGGGCAACCCUGAUCCAGCCAUGCCGCGUGAGUGAAGAAGGCCUUCGGGUUGUAAAGCUCUUUUGGCGGGAACGAAAAUGCCGGGGCUAAUACCUCAGGCCCCUGACGGUUCCGGCACAAUAACCACCGGCUAACUACGGGCCAUCACCCGCGGUAAUACUAAGGGGGCAAACGUUAAUCGGAAUUACUGGGCGUAAAGGGAGCGAAGGCGGUUGGGUAAAACAGAUGUGAAAUCCCCGGGCUCAACCUGGGAACUGCAUUUGAGACUGCUCGGCUAGAGUGCGUAAAAGGGGGGUGGAA
rnacentral:rRNA from 1 species